rnacentral:pre_miRNA from 1 species
ACUACCUGGGGAUCUUGUUAAAAUGCAGAUUCUGAUUCAGGAAGUGUGGAGUGUGGCCUAAAGUCUGCAUUUCGAACAAGCUCCUAGGUGAUGUUGA